rnacentral:rRNA from 1 species
UGAAGCGGCAACAGCUCAAAUUUGAAAUCUGGCUUCGGCCCGAGUUGUAAUUUGUAGCAGGAAGCUUUUGGUGAGGCACCUUCUGAGUCCCCUGGAACGGGGCGCCAUAGAGGGUGAGAAGCCCCGUAUAGUCGGAUGCCGAUCCAAUGUAAAGCUCCUUCGACGAGUCGAGUAGUUUGGGAAUGCUGCUCAAAAUGGGAGGUAAAUUUCUUCUAAAGCUAAAUACCGGCCAGAGACCGAUAGCGCACAAGUAGAGUGAUCGAAAGAUGAAAAGCACUUUGAAAAGAGGGUUAAAUAGCACGUGAAAUUGUUGAAAGGGAAGCGUUUGUGACCAGACUUGCGCCGUUCCGAUCAUCCGGUGUUCUCACCGGUGCACUCGGGACGGCACAGGCCAGCAUCGGUUUUGGCGGGGGGACAAAGGCCCUGGGAACGUAGCUCCUCCGGGAGUGUUAUAGCCCAGGGCGUAAUGCCCUCGCCGGGACCGAGGUUCGCGCAUG